rnacentral:rRNA from 1 species
CUUCUUUUAUAAGGGAAUAAAGUGCUUUACGUGUAGAGUUUGUAUGUACCUUAUGAAUAAGCAUCGGCUAACUCCGUGCCAGCAGCCGCGGUAAUACGGAGGAUGCGAGCGUUAUCCGGUAUUUAUUGGGUUUAAAGGGAGCGUAGACGGGAUGUUAAGUCAGCUGUGAAAGUUUGGGGCUCAACCUUAAAAUUGCAGUUGAAACUGGCGUUCUUGAGUGCGGUAGAGGCAGGCGGAAUUCGUGGUGUAGCGGUGAAAUGCUUAGAUAUCACGAAGAACUCCAAUUGCGAAGGCAGCUUGCUGGGUCUGUAACUGACGCUGAGGCGCGGUCGACGCGGCCG